rnacentral:rRNA from 1 species
GACGAACGCUGGCGGCGUGCUUAACACAUGCAAGUCGAACGAUGAACCCGCUUCGGUGGGGGAUUAGUGGCGAACGGGUGAGUAACACGUGGGCAAUCUGCCCUGCACUCUGGGACAAGCCCUGGAAACGGGGUCUAAUACCGGAUGAUACCCGGGGGCGCAUGCCCCUGGGUUGAAAGCUCCGGCGGUGCAGGAUGAGCCCGCGGCCUAUCAGCUUGUUGGUGGGGUGAUGGCCUACCAAGGCGACGACGGGUAGCCGGCCUGAGAGGGCGACCGGCCACACUGGGACUGAGACACGGCCCAGACUCCUACGGGAGGCAGCAGUGGGGAAUAUUGCACAAUGGGCGAAAGCCUGAUGCAGCGACGCCGCGUGAGGGAUGACGGCCUUCGGGUUGUAAACCUCUUUCAGCAGGGAAGAAGCGAAAGUGACGGUACCUGCAGAAGAAGCGCCGGCUAACUACGUGCCAGCAGCCGCGGU